GUUUUUAGUAGAGAUGGGGUUUCUUCACGUUGAUGAGGCUAGUUUCGAACUCCCGAUCUCAAGUGAUCCACCUGCCUCAGCCUCCCAAAGUGGUGGGAUUACAGAUGUGAGCCACCACACCUGGCUGUGAUUAACUUCUAGCCAGUGAAAAUAUGAAUGGAAAUUGGAAAUGAUGUGCUCAUUUUUAGGGUUAAUGAAGUCCCCCUAUUCUCCCCUACUCUUUUUUUGUCAACUUGAUGCCUCUGAGCAUGGUGACAAUGAAAACAACAUAUUGGAGAUUCCAAAGGCAGAAAAGAGAGGAAUGAGUGGCUGAAACACUACUUGGAAGAGAGCCAUCCCAAUUAGAAACACUCCUUUUUGGACUUCUUAUAUGAGAAAAAAAUUUAGAUUUGAGAAUUUAUAUGCAUAGGAGCUAGAAUGACCAUAGCUAGUCCAGAAAUUGGUACCAGAAGUGUAGUAAUGCCAAGACAAUAACCUAAAGUAUGUUACAUCAACUUACUUAUGAUGCAGCAAGUGGUAGAGAAUGUGAUUUGGAGGCUGGAAAAAGGAGGCCUGUGUUUUCAAUGGCGAAGUAAUUAGUAAAACUGUCACCUGGAAUAAUUCAAAAUCAGAUCACCUAUCUGUUGAGAUUAGCUCCAGAGAAAAUGAUUGAAAAGAGCAAAAGUAAUACUACGUGUUGAAUUUUAUAUUUUACUUUUAAUAAAGUUUUACUAAAGUGAGAGUGUACAGGAAUAUUUCUUUGGAAGGGUUGAAAAAGGUGACUUUUUUUAGACUUCUAACAAAAAAAACUAGGAGAGGUUUUGAGUUAUAGUUACCCUUGAGAUUAAGUCCUGCAACAAAGAUCAGGAAAAGGAUUUGGUCUUUCCAUUCAACGUCAUUAUUUCAGGUGGCUUCAAGAUAGCUAUGAUAAAGAUCUAGAGGAAGUUGCAUAGGAGCAGGGAAUCAAAGCAGUAAAUUAGGCUUGAUAAUUAUUUGAGAAAGAACUUUGGGUAUAGUUACUAGAAGCACUUCAAUCAGAAGACUACAUUUUUAGAGGAAUUUUAUUACUAAUCUUACUAAAUCUGGUUCAUAUAUUGUUCAGGUGUUAAAACAGUGGGUAACUAUCCAACCUCAGUCUUGCAUAAGUAGAAAAUAGAGCAUAAAAGCUUAACAGCUCCCCAGUACCCACAUAGAAUGUGUCUUUGGAGAAUGAUGGACAAAAAAAAGAACAUUUCAGAAGUUCCUGUCGGGAACUGUAGAAAAGAAUGGACAGGGAGUUUCUCCUGAAAACUAGAAUUGGGGUCUCAUCAAAACUUUCUUUAGUCUCAAGGAGAUGGGCGGCAAAAUGCUUAUACAGUAUUUCAUUAUUAUUAUACUGCAUAUAUUGCUCAGUGUCACAUUUUUCUUUUCUGAAUGAGAGUGUAUUAUGGUUGUGUGUCUCUGAGCUACCACUGUAUAUUGGGUUUGCAGGGACGGGGGUGACGAUGAAGACAAUUUGUCUUUUUAGUUCUUAGGUCACAUCUGUACCUAAUGAAGAGAACUGCGCAUUUUCUGAAAAUCCUAGACUUUGAGCCUUUUCCAGUGACUGGAUAAAGCUUUAGAUUGUCUCCCUUGGGACAGGAGUUUGACUCUUUUGGUCAACAAUAACUUGGCACCCAAACGUGUUGAUUCAGAGAAGGCUCAGGACCCCAAAGGAAUUACCCAAAGUUGGAGCUAAGGUACCAGCAGAGGCCCAUUGAAAGCCUCCCCAACUUCAAGCUUCUCAUUCAGUGGCACUGGAAACUUUCUAAUUAUGUGAGGAGCUGCUAGAUUCUACAGUGCCGGAUAGACAGCUCCCAUGAGCUGUUUGGCUUGUGAAUGGCAUUUCCAAGGAAACCAAAAUUAUGACAUUCUGAAGACCAGAGAUGCUAAUCUCCCUCAUUUGGCAUCCCACUGGCCCAGAUCUGUUUUCCACUGCAAAUGCUCUGCUCCCAAAACUAUACAAGCACUCCCCCUUUAGGCCCAGGAAUGGUCAUAGAAGAGGCUUGCUAAAAUUGAUAUCCUUGAGUUCUAUCAAUUCUGGGACAGAGAACAAAUUGUCUCGCCUGCAAGGAUGGAGGGACAGUGAGGAAUUUGCCAAGACAGAGUCUUGUUUCAUCACCAGGUGCCACGC